rnacentral:misc_RNA from 1 species
CUCGCUCGCUCGCUCAUUCUUUUUCGUUUUGUUCGCCCACUGCGCUUUUCUAUUCUCGUGCAAAUACGAGCUCUCUCUCCCUCCCUCCCUCUGUGUGUGUGUGUGUGCCCCUGCCCCUGCCUCUGCCCCUCUUUUCCCCUCUCCCUUGUAGCCGAGACUUGUGUGCACGCACACAAACAGGCGUGUGUAAGAGCCAAUCUUCUCCUCUCGGCACUCUUCAGCCGCCGCGCAGCUACAGAGUAAGUCGCCGUAUUCGACGAAACAGUUAGAGUAAGCUCUAGUCCGUGGCAGCCAUCUUGUUAGUAAAUAGUAGCAAACACCGCCGGCUCUGCAAAGCAGCCCGACACCCUUUCCUGAUUCGCUCUCGAUCUCCGUUCGGUGUUGUCGUCUUCUCUUAAAAGAUUUCUUUUCCCUUGUUGGGCGCAGAGACCAACCAUGGCGAACUCGAGCUUACUCCGCGUGGUGCUCGUGGCACUGCUGCUGCUCGGCUCCGUCACGGUGUCCGCUGGUGAUGGCCGCGGCACCCCCAUCGCCUUCCAGGCCGAGGUGUCGAAGAUGCUGGACAUACUCGUCAACUCCCUUUACACCAACCGCGCUGUUUUCUUGCGCGAGCUGAUAUCGAACGGCAGCGACGCACUUGACAAAAUUCGUGUGCUCUACCUCACCUCCCCUAAGGAGCCGCUCACGAAGGAUGGCGAGGCCCCGACGAUGGACCUCCGCAUCUCCUUCGACAAGGAGAAGAGCGAGCUCAUUCUGCGCGACGGCGGUGUUGGCAUGACGAAGGAGGAACUGGCAAAGCAUCUCGGCUCCCUCGGCACCUCUGGCACCAAGCACUUUCUCGAGAAACUGCAGGAGGGUGUCGGCGCUGUUGGCGGCGACCAAAACAACCUGAUUGGCCAGUUUGGCGUCGGCUUUUACUCGGUCUUUCUCGUUGGCGACCGCGUGCGCGUCGCGUCCAAGAGCGACGACAGCGACGAGCAGUAUGUCUGGGAGUCUAAGGGGGAUGGACAGUACUUCCUCUACCCCGACCCGCGCGGCAACACGCUCGGCCGCGGUACUGAGAUCACCAUCGAGCUAAAGCCGGACGCUGAGCAGUUCCUGUCCGCUGAAACGAUAAAAAAGACGAUUCACCAGUACAGUGAGUUCAUCAACUUCCCCAUCUACGUCCAGGAGGAGGUGGAGGUGGCGAGCACGGCAGCGACGCCGGAGUCGGCCGCGGAGGAGAGGAGCCUCGACGAGGGUGCCGUGGAGGAGGACCCGGACAAGGAAGGGGACACGCAGGGCGUUGUAAAGGAGAAGCGCUGGACGCUGGUGAACGAGAACCGCCCGAUCUGGACCCGUCCGAUUGGCAACGUGACGGAGGAGGAGUACCACAAGUUCUACAAGGCCUUCUCCGGCGACUACCGUGACCCCUUGUACUUCAACCACUUCAAGGUCGAGGGAGAGGUGGAUUUCGACUCGAUCCUCUUCGUCCCCACCACCGUGGAUCCGGCGUCCUUCUCUGACGACAACGCUGUCCCGAACACGAACAUAAAGCUGUACGUGCGCCGCGUCUUCAUCACGGACGAGUUCCGCGACUUGCUGCCGCGCUACCUGAAUUUUGUCAAGGGCAUUGUGGACAGCAACGACUUGCCGCUGAACGUGUCGCGUGAGGUGCUGCAGGAGAGUCGUAUUCUGCGCGUGAUCAAGAAGAAACUUGUGCGUAAGACGCUGAGCAUGUUCGCCGACAUUGCAGCGCAGGACGAGGCGAUCGCGAACGGGAAGCAGGUGGAGAACCCGGCUCCGUCUGGACACACGCACCUCAAGAAGCCGGCCUACACCAAGUUCUGGGAGCUGUAUGGCAAGCAUCUCCGUCUCGGUGUCAUGCUGGACAGCAACAACCGCAAUCGCCUCACGAAGCUGUUCCGCUACAAGUCCAGUAGAAGUGAAAGCGAGUACAUCAGCCUCCAGACCUACGUGGACCGCAUGAAGAAAGGGCAGAAGGGCAUCUACUACCUCUCCGGCGACUCGGUGGCGCGGAUCAAGAAGUCCCCAGUGCUGGAGGACGCCGUCAACCACGAUGUUGAGGUGAUCUUCAUGACGGACGCCAUCGACGAGUACGUUGUGUCGCAGCUGACUGACUUUGCGGGCAAGAAGCUCAUCAACCUCGCGAAGGAGGGGGUGCAGUUCGAGGAGAGCGACGCGCGGCAGCGAGUGGUCGAUAGAAAGCGCAAGGAAAAGUACGAUUCCUUCUUUACUCAUCUGCGCGCGCUCUUCGGGUACUCGGAAGUGCGCAAGGUUAUCUUGACGAAGCGCAUGACGAAUGAGGCAUUCAUUGUGUCCUCCAGUGAGAACCAGAUCACGGCGCGCCUGGCCAGCAUCAUGCGCGGCCAGUCAAUGUCCCUCGCUAACCAGCAGCUGACUGCCGAGCGUGUGCUGGAGGUUAACUACCGCCACCCGCUGGUGGACGAGAUGUUCAAGCGCUUCACCGUGGACGAGGAUGACGAGGUGGCGACAGACAUUGCGUGGGUGCUGUACGAUACGGCAAACUUGCAGGCCGAGUUCCCGGUGGCGGACGUGGCGGCCUACUCGAAGCGCAUUAACCGUCUGCUCCGCAGCAGCGUUGACCUGAGCGCGGACGACUCGCUGCUGCCGCCGGACGACGCCGAGUACACCGUCUCCGACACGGAGACUGAGGAAGAGGAGGAGCAGCCGAAGGUUGACACCAAUGCGCACGAAGAAGCUGAAACAGACGGCGAGGGCGAUCUGUAACAGGCCAGUCACCCGACGCUGUCCCCCCCCCCUCCCCCUCCCCUUGGCGCACCUUGGCGUCUGGGUCACCUGACUAUCACCAUCGUCGCUGUUGCGAGCGCGCUCAUGGCGACCCGCCUCCCAGAGCGGCAACUACAACGAUAGCCGUCUACUCCUCCCCUCCCCCAAAAGACUUCCACCCUGCGAUAACGGAGAUGGCGCGGAUACUUCUUUCAUGUGAACAUAAAGUUACGCUGGGCUUCUUCUACUUGUGCGUCCUUUUCUCUUCCCCUCAGUCACGCAUUUGUGCGCGGUUUUUAUGGUUGGCAUUAUCAUUUUCGCUCUCCUUGUGUUUUCCUUCUGGUCGUUUACUUGUUUCGUGCCGACGCGUGUGCCAUGCGGGUGUGCGCGCGUUCGGCAUCUCUGCGUACCUCGAGAUGGUGCCGCCGCAUCUGGCUCAACUCCUCCUCUGCCGCCCUUCCUCCUCCCUUUUCCUCGCUCGUUCUCAACAGACUUUCGCAUGAGUGGCUUAUUUGCGAAGAGACUUCUUUUUUUUCUCUCUCUGUCCCAUCGCCGCCAUCCUGCCCAGCAGCCUCGUGUGAGUGGGGGUUCAGCCAUGCCAUCUGCUUUACUCGGUGCAUACUAGGUAGAGAGAGCCGGCAGAUAUUGGGGGGCAGCUGUGUUUUGCACUUACGCCGUGUGAGGGGCUGCACUGGGAAAGGUCGGUGGUGCCGUAUACAACGCAGAGGAGUGGCAGAGCUGAAUAAAGAGGUAUACAGAGGAAGAGGGAGGGCUGGGAGUCGGCCGAGGAGAUUGGGGGGAGUGCAGGUUCUUUGACGUUUACGGGCUUCUCGGUGGCGGUCUCUCUAGCGCUCUUCCUCACGUGCAGUAGAGGAGAGUAGAAGGGACAUCUCCACGGUAAGACACAUCAUGCACACAGCUGAGGCAUCCUGAAGAGGAGAGAGAUGGAACGGAAACACCACUCCCCACCUUUUUUGCACGUGAUGUGUGCGUCAAUGAUAUGAUCG